GGAGACAGAGUAAAAGUCUAACAAAGAACCCUAGGUGCAGCCUUAGAGUUGUCUUGAAGUCGAGUAUUAGAGGUGGGACUGCGGGCAGAAGGAUAGACUGUCUUCAGCAGCGCAUAGGGGCCUAGACAGGACAUAUUUUUGUAUUAGGGAGUGUAGAUAGGUUAGAGCAUUAUUGUGUAGAGUUGUAAACAGUACUGGAAUUUAAAAAAAAUAUCGAAUAAGAAGCCAAUGCAGGGACAGAGGGAGGAGGUGGGGGAGGUGCUGGUGGACAGGCAGGUGAGCUUCACCGCCACAUUCAUUAUAGACUGUAACGGGGCAAGCGAACUGCAGUUGUCUAGGCGAGAGAAGUUAGUGGUAUGGAGCAGGGCAGAAACCUUCUGCUGUAGCAAGGGCAAAUGAGCAUAGAACAGCAGAGUGGGUGCGGUUGGGGAAAGUAUUUGUAGGGGAAGGAAAGAGAUGAGAGAUCUCUUGUAUGAUUGUAUAAAUCUCGGUGAAGUGAGUUGCAAAGGUUGUGGAGGUCAAGUUGGUAGGAGGAGGAGCAAUAGGGCAGCGAGAAUUAAAAGUGUGAAAUAAGCGUUUGGGUUUGCAGGAGAGCAUAGUUAUGAGAUUAUUGAAGUAGUGUUUUUUGGUAGAGCAAAAAAAACAAGUCACAAGAGAGUGCUGAGGACGGACAACAGCUCAAUCAGCCUGCCUUUCGGUGGAUCCCCGCUCAGUUCUCAAGCUGGUUUUAGCUCAUCUUGUGCCAUUACAGAGAGAACCAGACCAUGCAUCUCAGACUGAUUCCACCCAAAAGAGCAGAACAGAUCCAAAAUACAGGCCAGCUCGCUCUGCACAAGAGAUACAGCAACCCCAGUCGAUCAUUUCAGCCUUGUUAGGCAUCAUCAGUGAGGAAUAGCUGAUACUUAGUGCUUUUUUUGUUUGUUUUUUGCAAAGGAAAGAGCCAAACUGUAAGAGUGCAGCAUAACUUUUUUUAGGAGGGCUCAACCAUUCUGGAAGACUUCUGGAGGUAUCGAGUCAGCUUUGUGUACCGAGGUUGUAAUUGGGGGCGCUUGCUGCGUUUAAAUGUAAGAGGUGCCAUGAUGUCUAGUUGAGAUGUAAGGGUGGAGUAGUUUAGGAAGGUUGCAGAGUUUGGGCGGGUGAGAUGGGUAAAAAAAAUGGAGGUUGGGGGAGAAUCUCUGUAGGUCAAGAUAGUGGAGGGUUCUGUGAGACUGAUGUCCUGACGGUGGUGUAAUUUGGAUUCGGGCAUGGAGAUAUUAAAGAUCAGCAAAUGGUGGUCUGAUAGACGGAAUGGAAGAUUGGGCAGAUUAGAGGCGGAACAGAGAUUGGUGAAGAUCAAUUGGUGGUCAAGAGUGUUUCCCGCUGUAUGAGUUGCUGAAUUAGACCAUUGUGUGAGGCCAAAGGAGGAUGUUAUAGAGAGCAGACAACUGGCAUCAAGACAGUUGGGGUUGUUGAUUGGGAUAUUAAAGUCACCGGGUAUAAGGAAAGGAGUUCUAGAGGAGAGGAAGUGGGGUAGCAAAGAGCUAAAAGUGUUUCAUGAAUAGACUAGGAUGAAUAUAUAAUAUAUAUGCUCUACGGAAUCUGUUGGC